rnacentral:rRNA from 1 species
UACAGAGGUGGCAAGCGUUGUUCGGAAUUACUGGGCGUAAAGGGCGCGUAGGCGGCCAACUAAGUCAGACGUGAAAUCCCUCGGCUUAACCGGGGAACUGCGUCUGAUACUGGAUGGCUUGAGUUUGGGAGAGGGAUGCGGAAUUCCAGGUGUAGCGGUGAAAUGCGUAGAUAUCUGGAGGAACACCGGUGGCGAAGGCGGCAUCCUGGACCAACACUGACGCUGAGUGAGCGAAAGCCAGGGGAGCAAACGGG